GUCCUAGCUGUAAACGGUGCGCGUUUGGUGUGGGAGGAAUCGACCCCUUCCGUGCCGAAGCUAACGCGAUAAACGCGCCGCCUGGGAAGUACGAUCGCAAGAUUAAAACUCAAAGAAAUUGACGGGGACCCGCACAAGCGGUGGAGUAUGUGGCUUAAUUCGAUGCAACGCGAAGAACCUUACCUGGGUUUGACAUGCAAUGUGUCUUCUACGAAAGUAGGAUAGCGUAGCAAUACGUGCUUUGCACAGGUGCUGCAUGGCUGUCGU
rnacentral:rRNA from 1 species